rnacentral:rRNA from 1 species
CCUACGGGAGGCAGCAGUGGGGGAUAUUGCACAAUGGGGGGAACCCUGAUGCAGCGACGCCGCGUGGGUGAAGAAGCGCCUCGGCGCGUAAAGCCCUGUCAGCAGGGAAGAAAAUGACGGUACCUGAAGAAGAAGCUCCGGCUAACUCCGUGCCAGCAGCCGCGGCAAUACGGAGGGGGCAAGCGUUAGCCGGAUUUACUGGGUGGAAAGGGGGCGCAGACGGCGGUGGAAGACAGGAGUGAAAGCCCGGGGCCCAACCCCGGGACUGCUCUUGGAGCUGCGUGGCUGGAGUGCAGGAGGGGCAGGCGGAAUUCCUGGUGUAGCGGUGAAAUGCGUAGAUAUCAGGAGGAACACCGGUGGCGAAGGCGGCCUGCUGGACUGCAACUGACGUUGAGGCCCGAAAGCGUGGGGAGCAAACAGGAUUAGAUACCCUGGUAGUC